rnacentral:rRNA from 1 species
UACGGGGGGGGCAAGCGUUGUUCGGAAUUACUGGGCGUAAAGGGCUCGUAGGCGGCCAACUAAGUCAGACGUGAAAUCCCUCGGCUUAACCGGGGAACUGCGUCUGAUACUGGAUGGCUUGAGGUUGGGAGAGGGAUGCGGAAUUCCAGGUGUAGCGGUGAAAUGCGUAGAUAUUACAUGGAAUACCGAUGCGAAGGCAGGUUACUAUCAAUAUAUUGACGCUGAUGGACGAAAAGCGUGGGUAGCGAACAGG